rnacentral:rRNA from 1 species
AGUGGCGAACGGGUGAGUAACACGUGAGCAACCUGCCCCUGACUCUGGGAUAAGCGCUGGAAACGGCGUCUAAUACUGGAUACGAGUAGCGACCGCAUGGUCAGUUACUGGAAAGAUUUAUUGGUUGGGGAUGGGCUCGCGGCCUAUCAGCUUGUUGGUGAGGUAAUGGCUCACCAAGGCGUCGACGGGUAGCCGGCCUGAGAGGGUGACCGGCCACACUGGGACUGAGACACGGCCCAGACUCCUACGGGAGGCAGCAGUGGGGAAUAUUGCACAAUGGGCGCAAGCCUGAUGCAGCAACGCCGCGUGAGGGAUGACGGCCUUCGGGUUGUAAACCUCUUUUAGCAGGGAAGAAGCGAAAGUGACGGUACCUGCAGAAAAAGCGCCGGCUAACUACGUGCCAGCAGCCGCGGUAAUACGUAGGGCGCAAGCGUUAUCCGGAAUUAUUGGGCGUAAAGAGCUCGUAGGCGGUUUGUCGCGUCUGCUGUGAAAUCCGGAGGCUCAACCUCCGGCCUGCAGUGGGUACGGGCAGACUAGAGUGCGGUAGGGGAGAUUGGAAUUCCUGGUGUAGCGGUGGAAUGCGCAGAUAUCAGGAGGAACACCGAUGGCGAAGGCAGAUCUCUGGGCCGUAACUGACGCUGAGGAGCGAAAGGGUGGGGAGCAAACAGGCUUAGAUACCCUGGUAGUCCACCCCGUAAACGUUGGGAACUAGUUGUGGGGUCCAUUCCACGGAUUCCGUGACGCAGCUAACGCAUUAAGUUCCCCGCCUGGGGAGUACGGCCGCAAGGCUAAAACUCAAAGGAAUUGACGGGGACCCGCACAAGCGGCGGAGCAUGCGGAUUAAUUCGAUGCAACGCGAAGAACCUUACCAAGGCUUGACAUAUACGAGAACGGGCCAGAAAUGGUCAACUCUUUGGACACUCGUAAACAGGUGGUGCAUGGUUGUCGUCAGCUCGUGUCGUGAGAUGUUGGGUUAAGUCCCGCAACGAGCGCAACCCUCGUUCUAUGUUGCCAGCACGUAAUGGUGGGAACUCAUGGGAUACUGCCGGGGUCAACUCGGAGGAAGGUGGGGAUGACGUCAAAUCAUCAUGCCCCUUAUGUCUUGGGCUUCACGCAUGCUACAAUGGCCGGUACAAAGGGCUGCAAUACCGCGAGGUGGAGCGAAUCCCAAAAAGCCGGUCCCAGUUCGGAUUGAGGUCU